rnacentral:rRNA from 1 species
GAUGAACGCUAGCUACAGGCUUAACACAUGCAAGUCGCGGGGCAGCAUGGGGGUUGCUUGCAAUCCCCGAUGGCGACCGGCGCACGGGGGAGUAACGCGUAUCCAACCUGCCCUUCACCACGGGAUAACCCGGCGAAAGUCGGACUAAUACCGUAUGUUGUCCAUUGACGGCAUCCGAUCGGGACGAAAGGUGGGGCGGUGAAGGAGGGGGAUGCGUCCGAUUAGCUGGACGGCGGGGUGACGGCCCAGCGUGGCGACGAUCGGUAGGGGUUCUGAGAGGAAGGUCCCCCACACUGGAACUGAGACACGGUCCAGACUCCUACGGGAGGCAGCAGUGAGGAAUAUUGGUCAAUGGGCGUAAGCCUGAACCAGCCAAGUAGCGUGCAGGAUGACGGCCCUAUGGGUUGUAAACUGCUUUUAUGCGGGGAUAAAGUGGCCCACGUGUGGGUUUUUGCAGGUACCGCAUGAAUAAGGACCGGCUAAUUCCGUG